rnacentral:lncRNA from 1 species
CUCUUCUUUCCUAGCUUUGAGAUGCAGAGUACACGCAGUACUGUCUGUCCGCUGCUCCAACUAUUUUUGGUGGCGACAUCGAGGGCACAAAGCUUAGUUUGUGUCCGCUCGAGCGUUCAGGUCUCGCCCCAGCAAUUCUUCCUGCCACUCGUCGCCUACAGGCUUGUCUCUGGAUCACCGUUGGCAGCGUCCGGCCUUUGUCCGGCCCUCCUCCACACGCACUGGCGCACAUAAUGUGAUCUUUCGCAUCCGGCUUCCCACAGAGGCUGCUCUGGCUUCACCUAGGUUGUAGCCACGUAGUAGGCUCAUGCCGGUUGCGGAGGAUAGUUGCCGACUGCAUGUCUUUCCCCGUGCAUCAGGUUGCACUCUGGGUUCAUUCUGCCAUUGUCAUGUAGCUACUGUGAAUCCUUGCGGGAUUCUCAAAGCUUACCAAGAUUGCUCCUGAAGGGCUGAGUGCAAAACUAAGUUCAACCUUAAAAGAGAGGGCCGCACCCUUUUAUGAAGUGGAGAAUUUUCCUUAAAAACUGCUCUUCUAGUGGCUGGAGGAAGAAUGAAUAUGGGGACAAGGAAGUCUGGGGCUGGCUGUACAUGAGAGGGAGGAUGGCUUUCCGAAGAGACUUCUGGCGACGUGGCCCCCGGAACUCCCCACCCACU